ensembl:lncRNA
CUCCCUUCGGAGGAGGAUGGAGGGGCAGAGCCACAUCCAAGCUGUGAUCCAGGAUGGGUGUGAGCGCACACGGAGCUGCCGGUGGGAGGUCGGUGCGUUUCUGGGCCAAGAACCAUCAACUGGGCCAGGAGGCACUCGGAGACAGGGCAGUGUCUGGGAGGGCCGCUCAGCGCCUGCUAAAUGCACUCUUUGUGCUGGGGAAGUGCUGGCAGCUCAUCAGGAGGAGGCUGACAGGAGAACUGGCUCGGGAGGUCCCGCACUGGGGUUUGGAGCUGACAUCUGUGCCUCUCCUGCUGGGGUUAUUGGAGGUGGGCGCCCAGCACCGUCAUCCUUUAAUCCACCUCGGCUAGAAGCAAGCUGGUUUUAAGGGCGGGAGCAUCUCCUGCAUUACGGGGGUGGGAAGCAAGCUGGGGGGCAUAGGCUGGGCACAGGAAACCCAGCACACGCAGCCUGGCAGUGCUGGCUUGCCCACAUCCGUGGCACAGCAACCGCAGCCAUGCAAGGAGCUGCAGGGCCCCUGCAAAUGCGGCCAAAGGCUGGGAGUCACCGCGCACCAAGCCAAGGUGCAGUGUGUCCCACGUCCCUGGGAGCCUGCGAGCUCCGUGACGCAGCCGGGUACGCAUGCGGAACACCGCCAGCUUUCCCUGUUUGCACCUGCAGAUUGGAAGGCAGCCGGGUGAAGCCUGAGCCGUCACAGACCUGGAAGUGGUGAGCAGCAGCAGCAACAGCCCCGCCAUCAUCCGCCCCGCUUUAACGCUGCAAAGCAAACGUGCGCCGAGAGCCGUCACACGGAGCAGAACUUCGCCCCGUGCCCCCAAGCGCACGGCCCCGGCCCGGCAGGAGCGCUCCCGACGCGGCUGCUGCUAAUGGGGUUAAAGUGAAAGCACGGGUUGAGCUGCACGAAGCACAGCGCGGACCCGGCCCGGCACCGUGCCGCAGCGGCCACAAGACCCUCUCCGUGCCUACACCAAUGUCACCAGGAGCCCUGCAAGCGCGGCUUUACCUGGCUCAGCCCUGGAGCCCUGCUGCCAACCGGGGGACGCGACAGCAUCUCCUGCGUCGGUGACACCGUCCCUUCCGAGAAGUAGCACCAAGUCAGAGGAAGCUGUGACUCAGAGGCCGAUGAAUCACUCCUGCUCCAGAUUACACGGCUUUUUUUCCUCCUCCUGGGCCUCCAGCAUGGACUGAGGAGCCCACAGAGACAUUAGUGAGAAUCCUUUUAAAGCUGGAACGAGACCUGAACAUUUGGGAAACACUGCAGCGACUGGUG